GAAAUGCGAUACCUGGUGUGAAUUGCAGAAUCCCGUGAACCAUCGAGUCUUUGAACGCAAGUUGCGCCCGAGGCCAUCCGGCUAAGGGCACGCCUGCCUGGGCGUCACGCUUUCGACGCUUCGUCGUUGCCCCCUCGGGGGGUGUGGGCGAACGUGGAGGAUGGCCCCCCGUGCCGGAAAGGUGCGGUUGGCCGAAGAGCGGGCCGUCGGUGGUUGUCGAACACGACGCGUGGUGGAUGCCUUGUGCGAGCCGUACGUCGUGCCUUCGGGACCCGGGCGAGGCCUCGAGGACCCAAGUCGUGGUGCGAGUCGAUGCCACGGACCGCGACCCCAGGUCAGGUGGGGCUACCCGCUGAGUUUAA
rnacentral:misc_RNA from 1 species